UGAAUUUAUUGAGGACAUUUUCUGCUUGGUGGAGGGGAAGAUCAAGAAGCACAAUGCACUACAAUUCACAAGCAAUGGAUAACAUAACCAAUCUACAAUUUUUAGAAAAGCUCAUCACCAGGCAACUUCAAGUAAUGAAUGGAAUUUGCCAGAAACAAGCAUGGUUCAAAAGUGUAUCAGCCUCAUCUGUCUUUUCUUCAUUUGGAUUAUUUUCCUUUAUGAUCCUGAAUACUACUGUCCAAAUAAAAUGUUUGAACUGAGGCAAGUGAAGCACUGAAGGGCAUAUGGAGUGGCUGAAGAAAAACCUCUGAGAUAUGAGUUCACUACCUAUAAUACAAAGUCUGUAUGUAACCACAAUAUAGACAGAGCACCACAAAGUCUGAUAGAUAUUUUCUGUGAUAAGGACAUAGAAAAUUCUCCUCCAUAAAUAAAAACUCACAUUUCCACAGUGAUUUCUUUAUAGCAAUCUAGAAAUUAGAUGCUAUAAUUAUUUUCAUUCCCACUUCCCAGAUGGGGAAACUGAGGCUUAGUGUAUUAAUUGUAAUAAUCAUGGUUACUUACCCAGUAAGCUGCAAAUUCACCAUGUUUCCUGACCAUUCCUAAAACCUCAGUCAUACUCAAUUUGCCUCUUCCUGUUCAAUUCCUUCCUCAAACUUGCAAUCAUUUGUAAAGUUCUGUCUAUUUUUUCCACAGUUUCUCAUAUUAGUCCCUUUUUAUUCCCAUAUCAAGCCAAGCUUAUUGCUUUUCACUUGGACUAUUGUAAUAUCAUGCCAAUUCUCUCCCUGUUGUCAUUCUCUUCCUCCUCUCUAAUUCAUCUUCCUCAGACCUACCAAAAUGUUCCCUAAAUCACAAAUCUAACCAUUUGACUUUGCCUCUCAAAAAUCUUCUGUGGCUCCCUAUUACUACUCAUAUAUAUAUAU